AUGAAGAUUAAGUUGAAGUUGGUUUGGGUGGUACUAGUUCAGGUGCCGGGAAUAUGGGAACAGAUGAGUACAAUUCGUUUGCUGGAACUGGCAGCCAAAUUGGAAUUCCCGAUGGGGUUGCGGCCGGCGAACGGGCAAAAUUGGAACUUGAAUAUGCUCGGUUCACUGGGAUUCUUCCAGCUCGAUUGUGAGAGUGGGUGGAGUAACGGUACAGGUACAGGGGUUCCUCCAAUACCAGAUGAAGAACAAUGUGCACGUGUGCGCACACUUGCUGCUGCGGUGCUAGAUAUGGUUGACCAAGCAAUAAACAAUCCUGAAAAUUUUGAAGUGGUAUUUGAUCACGCCAGAAGUCUGCUCGGGAGGGUUCACGGUGGAUCAGGAGAAGGCGCGAGCUAA
rnacentral:rRNA from 1 species